rnacentral:rRNA from 1 species
UACGGAAGGGGCUAGCGUUGUUCGGAAUUACUGGGCGUAAAGGGCGCGUAGGCGGCUAUGCAAGUCAGGCGUGAAAGCCCCGGGCUCAACCCGGGAAUUGCGCUUGAUACUGUGUGGCUUGAGUCCGGGAGAGGAUGGCGGAAUUCCCAGUGUAGAGGUGAAAUUCGUAGAUAUUGGGAAGAACACCGGUGGCGAAGGCGGCCAUCUGGACCGGUACUGACGCUGAGGCGCGAAAGCGUGGGGAGCAAACAGG